GAUGCUCACCCCCAUCACUGCCGGCAAACAGGGUCUCAGGCAGCGUCAAGGAGGACCUUCUUUCUUGUUAUUUUUAUGCUGAUAUCAAUUGAUUUAUCUUCAUUUCUGAUAACAACAUGAAGAUAAAUCAAUGGCAGCUACUUUGACUUUCAGCCAUCUUCUACCCAGGCCAAAUUUAUAGUGAGGCCACGCACCUCUGGCACUGGCAUGUCAGCGGCUCAGCUCUCUCAUUGCACCCAAGUGUUUUCAUCAGAAAACAAGGAGAACACUGAGUGGAUUCCCUCAGCAUGAGAUGAGGUGCACACUGCCUGCUCAGUGGGUGCACUGCCCACCGCAGCCUCUAGCCCCGUGUUGCAGCUGGCAGGGUGGUGCCCACGGCUCUCCUACUUGGCUCUCUCCAGACCUACUUCACAUACGCAUGGAGUCAUGGGGAGGUGGCCUUUGGUCCCAUAAAGGGAAGCAGAGGCACAGAUGGGUCACAUGGCUGCAAGAAGCUCCCAAACUGAUGAGGAUCAGGAUCCUAGGAGUUGCCAGUUCCAGUGCUCUGGAGCUGCGCAGGGUCCAGCAGAAACUGUCACCAAAUCCAACAACCACAGCGUUACACAUUGUGGGAUCUUCAGCAAGUAAGCGCACACGCUUUCAACCCUUGAAGCCAAAAAAUGGAGGACAAGCACCGGAACGCCACCAGGCUUCCUGCAAACAUGACGGGCCAGGCCCAUAGACCCCAGGAAGCAACGUCUUCUUACGUUUUCAGAAUUCAGAGCCAUAAAGAUGCCUGAUAUAAACCCCCUUACACACAAAAAGGGAUGCAGGAGAUCCUUUGAAUGCUGGGAGGAGUCUGUACUGGAUGACCCUGGAUGAAGACAUGCUGUUCUUUUAAGUGAAGGUUUUCUUUUCUGAAGAGGCUUUUGUGAGGAUGGAACAGCGAAGCCUGGUAUGGGAACGGAGAAAGGGCACUGAAAUGUAGGCACCUGGCCUCAGUCUGUGGAGUUCAAAAAGGCUGCAGUCAGCGAGGAAAUUUACAUUCUGUGUAAAUAAGCCACUUUCAGAAUGUAUGUUUUGUCUUAGUUACACAGAAAUUUCUAUAAAAGUACUUGUGACUGUGUCUGAAAGACUGAAACUAUUUUAAAAACACCUUGAAAUAUAUUUUUCUCUGCCU